UACGAAGGGGGCUAGCGUUGUUCGGAAUUACUGGGCGUAAAGGGCGCGUAGGCGGUACUUCAAGUCAGGCGUGAAAGCCCCGGGCUCAACCUGGGAACCGCGCUUGAGACUGGGAGAACUAGAGUUCGGGAGAGGAUGGUGGAAGUUCCCAGUGGUAGAGGUGAAAUUCGUAGAUAUUGGGAAGAACACCGAUGGCGAAGG
rnacentral:rRNA from 1 species